GGGUAAUCGGACGACGGGUCUUCGUACCGCCUCCAACGUGGUUGAAUUGGAAACCCAUGAGGGCCUCCACGAGAGCGCUCUUGCCGUCCGUCUGGUGACCCACCACUAGCACAGCGGGCGCGUCUCUAGCUCCUGGGCCAAGCCGUGGAGCUCGUUGUAGGCUUCGUAGAGGCUCCAUUUCUCCUGCAUUGCAUCUAUUGCCAUUACCGCUUAGAAGUG
rnacentral:misc_RNA from 1 species